GGAAAGGGAGGAGAAAUAAUGCGUUCUGCUGUUUCCCGUUUCAUUGAAUGCAUUUCAUCAGCUCAGGUCCAAUUGACAGACAAAAUAAAACGGAGUCUGCUUGAUACGCUCCACGAGAAUCUGAGACAUCCUAAUUCUCAGAUACAGGGUGCCGCUGUUGCAGCCUUAAAGAGCUUCAUUCCUGCUUACAUUGUGCCUUUGGAAAGUAAAGGCUUCAAUGCUAUUACAUUAAGAUACCUU
rnacentral:misc_RNA from 1 species